GCGCCCAUAGCUCAGCUGGAUAGAGCAUCGGCCUUCGAAGCCGAGGGUCGGGGGUUCGAAUCCCUCUGGGCGCG
rnacentral:tRNA from 1 species